rnacentral:lncRNA from 1 species
CUAAAUGAGAUAAUAUUUAGUUGCUUGCCUGGAUGAAUUUCAGGUGCUAGAGAUAAUAAUGUUUUAAAUAUUUAAAUAGGAAUUCUCUAGUGAGAUCUGAGGUUAUUUUAACUGAUUUGUUUCAGGCUAGGAAAUGAUGUUCACUUUUCCCCCUGUAGUCUUUCAAGGAGUGCUGUGAAAAUAAUAAGCAAAAUGAAAUGGUGGUGAAAUCCCUGAAGAGGAAAUGUUCUUCACAUGCAAUGUAUUCUGACUGGCAGGGGAAAAGUCUACGUCUUUGUUAAUGGGAAGAAGAUGACGGUAUUGCAAAUUUGGGGCUGACAGGAUAGCAAGGUGGUCAGGAACAGGCAACAUGGACUUCUUGAGAGUGAGUCAUGCCUGACCAGCCCAUUUGCAAAAUAAAUUACAUGAAAGUCACAUAUGGCAGAGAACAAAACUUGGCAACUAUUCUGACCAGCCCCUGAAUUUCUCCAGAAUGAACAGGGACCGCAGCAGUAUCCCUGCUCUGUGCCUUGGGUGAUCACCUGUCCCAUCACCAUGUUUUAUAUUGGGCAAGGAGAGCUGGAAGAACUGUCUCCACAUGAGAGGCAACCAGGUGAGAGGCAGCAACUCAUCAGAGUAGUUCCUGGGAUCACCCCCAUGCUCCGAAGAGGAUCCCCGGCCUCUCAAUCGGGACAGGAAGUGAGGAGGCGCGUUUUG